UUUUCUAAAUCGCUGAAACCGCAUGGUACGGGGGACCCGUUCUUACGGAUUAGUACAUAAUCCGAUGGGGUGAAUCCUUAAAAAAAGGUAGGGCUACUCAUAGGCCCGAAUCCGACAGCUAACCUCGUAAGCGUUAUAUUGAGAAGGA
rnacentral:sRNA from 2 species